rnacentral:piRNA from 1 species
UCCCAGCACAAGGCAGGUGGAACCUCAGA